AUUGAACGCUGGCGGCAGGCUUAACACAUGCAAGUCGAGCGAGCGGCGGACGGGUGAGUAAUGUCUGGGAAACUGCCUGAUGGAGGGGGAUAACUACUGGAAACGGUAGCUAAUACCGCAUACCAUCAGAUGUGCCCAGAUGGGAUUAGCUAGUAGGUGGGGUAAUGGCUCACCUAGGCGACGAUCCCUAGCUGGUCUGAGAGGAUGACCAGCCACACUGGAACUGUGACACGGUCCAGACUCCUACGGGAGGCAGCAGUGGGGAAUAUUGCACAAUGGGCGCAAGCCUGAUGCAGCCAUGCCGCGUGAAUGAAGAAGGCCUUCGGGUUGUAAAGUUCUUUCGGUAGCGAGGCGUUACUCGCAGAAGAAGCACCGGCUAACUCCGUGCCAGCCGCCGCGGUAAUAC
rnacentral:rRNA from 1 species